UACCAGCACCCCGAGUGGUCGGGACGAUUAUUGGGCCUAGAGCAUCCGUAGCCGGUCCUGCAAGUCUUCCGUUAAAUCCAGCUGCUCAACAGAUGGGCUGCGGGGGAUACUACAGGGCUAGGAGGCGGGAGAGGCAAGCGGUACUUUAUGGGUAGGGGUAAAAUCCGUUGAUCCAUAGAAGACCACCAGUGGCGAAGGCGGCUUGCCAGAACGCGCUCGACGGUGAGGGAUGAAAGCUGGGGGAGCAAACCGG
rnacentral:rRNA from 1 species